UGGAAUCUUGAGCUCGGUAAGAAUGGA
rnacentral:piRNA from 1 species